UGCUCCCGCCGGCGACCGGCGCACGGGUGAGUAACACGUAUGGAACCUGCCCGCCACAGGGGGAUAACCCGGGGAAACCCGGCCUAAUACCCCAUGCCGCCCGGACCGGGCAUCCGGUCCGGGCGAAAGGAGGAAUCCGGUGGCGGCUGGGCAUGUGGCGCAUUAGCUUGACGGCGGGGUAACGGCCCACCGUGGCGACGAUGCGUAGGGGUUCUGAGAGGAAGGCCCCCCACACUGGAACUGAGACACGGUCCAGACUCCUACGGAAGGCAGCAG
rnacentral:rRNA from 1 species